CAUCCAUCCCCCCCCCAGCUAGCCCCACCCCAAUGCACCCCCCCUUUCAGAUCUCCUGUCUGGAGACAUGUUUUCUCCCCCACCCCCCUCCGCCCACUCCUCAAUCUAUUCUCUUAUCAAAAGGGUGUGCCUGUUGUCACACACACACACACGCACCAAUUUCUGUCUGCUUUUGCCACAAUGGUUUGAAAAUUCCGCUUUGUCAGUCGCUUUGAUCUCUAUCUCUCCGCGUGCCUUGCUGGAAGAGAGGAGGGGCGGGUGGAUUAGCUUCCAUCAGGUUAAUCUUAGUUUAAUGGCUUCAUUUGUUUAUUAGGUUAAUGCUUGUGACCUGACUGGGAUCGUAUGGAUGCUGUUAAGGCGUCCACGUGAAUGUCAGGACAUCAAUAGCAGCAGGGGUAGUUCUGAACCACAAAUUGUGUGUGUGUGUGUGAGAGAGAGAGAUUUAGACACAGAAACAUAAUUUUUUCUUACAUAUCAAAAGAUUUAUUAUUUUAUUAUUAUUAAUCUAUUCAUAGCCUUCUACACAAUUGUCUCAAGGCGAUGUACAAUAAAGAACAGAAACAGCAGGAUAAAGGCAGUUGCGUUUAAAGGGUGUUAGAUUAUGCGAGAUUUGGAGAGGAAUUGCUUUUUUUAUUGUGCACAGAGCCAUAUAAAUAGAUGUUAAUAAUAAUAAAACAAAAUAAGAAGGAUACAAAACAGGCACUCAUGGGCAAAGGCUCAUUUAGCCAGCUGGAAAAGCCUGUUGGAACAAAAAUGGAAUAAUGAAGUGCAAGUGCAUGUUUGUAUCCAAUGUCAGUCCUACUCAGAGUAAACCCAUUAAGAUAAAGAGGCAUGAUUCACUUGCGUCCAUUGAUUUCCAUGGGUUUACUCAAAGUAGAACUUAGUUGGUGCAAGCCAUUAUUUAUGAUGUAAUAUAUUGAUAAAAGUAUGUAUGAAAUUUCAAUAACCAUGAAUGAAACUCAGUUUACUACGGCCCAAAAAUGCACUGUGAGUCUCUGUACACAGACGCAUGCUUGCUUAUUUCACCCGAUAAAAUAUAUGCAUGUAUACAAAUAUGCUAGUCCAGAUAGCCACAAAUAUGGAUGUCAUAUCAGGCAGAUGGAUACAUUUUUCAUUGCGUCAACUGCAUCAUGUAUAUAUAUGAAUUGUGUGUGUGUGUUGGUGAUGGUAAUGAUAUGUGCUGAAUCAUUUUGUCUGUGUACAGACAUUUUGGAAGAACGUAUGCUUUCUAAUGUAUACACAAAUUUUGUCUGUCUGUGUAUAUGUGACGUAUACACACAAAACUGAAGCCACUUUGGUUAAAGGAGGAGUCUCGUGGAGCUUUCCAGUUAAGUGGGGUGGGGGGCUAUUUCUCCAAAACAAGCAAACAAACACCCCUCCCCAUCACUCCACUUCUACCCCAAUCCAAUCGCAAAGUCUCAUUGCAUCCUUCUUCUGCCAUUCUGCAACAGGUAUGUUUGUCCGAUUUAAAUAUGAUUUCCAAAUCUAGAGAGGGCAAAACUCUAGGGUGGUGAGGAGGAAGUGAGAUAUUUAUUUUUUAAAAGGGGAAGGGUCAGCAUGUAACCCUGGCGCUUCUCGUACUGUGAUUCAUCUGGUUCUGGGGAGGGGCUUUGUUGUGUUUGGGAUGUUGUCACCCUUUGCCUUGGUUUAGAUACACAUCAUGGUAUUGUUUUUAAUCCUGAUUAUUGACUCCGGAUAAACUUCCCUUAAUCCCCUUCACUAUCAGCUAACAAGGUACUCGGAUUUCAACUCUAAGCAGAUUGUGGUUUAAAAAUGAAGAUUAGAGCAAUGCCCCCAAAGCAACAAUUGCUUAUCUUAACUAUAUCUGCAUUUAUUCUUGAGAAAGAUGCCCCUUUUUGUUCUGCAGGGGCGCCUAUAAUCCAAUUAAUUAAUUAAUUAAUUAAUUAAUUAAUUGUGUAUCUGUACUGCCCUAUACCCGCAGGUCUCAGGGCGGUUACAACAUAAAAACACAAACUGCAAAAAAUACAGCAUGCUUUUCACUGCAUCACAUCAGGCAGAUAUCCAACAGGCUAUUAUCCUGGAAUAAGAGACGGUUGGUCAGUUUCUUUGUAGCUUUUUUAAUAAAUAAAAAAAUCAGAGACCCUGCUCACAGUGGAUUGGGAGAAACUGGGAUUUGGAUGGGCAUAAUCUCUGCUACCAACACCCCGCAGGGCUUUCUCCUCUCUGCAUAGUGAAAUGCACAAAUGAAAGGCAGACUCUCGCCAAGUGCUGGAUCUGUGUUUUAAUCUCAAGGUCCCAGCAUUGCCUAAGCAGGAGACUGGAAACAAGCUUAUACCGUGUGAUCAAAUGCCAUUUUUUUUUAAAAAGACCUCUGUGGCUUUAAGAUACAAGACUCUUGGCGGGGGUGGGGGGAGUUGGACCACGUGGUUUGGGCCCCAACAGAAGCUUAAUUCAGCCACUUCCUGCCAGAGUUGGGGGAAGCAGCAGCAGCAGCUGCAAGGCACACUUCUGAACAUAGGAAGUUUGAGUCAGAUCGUUGGCUAGUAUAGGCCAGAUUGGCAGCAGCUCUUUGGCAUUUUGGGCAGAGAUUCCUGCCCCCACCACUUGCUUUUCGAGAUCUUUUAAAUUGAAGAACCUAGGACCCCGGGAAACUGAGGCCAUUUUGCAUUCUGCAUUAUGUGCUCCUGGAUGCAAAUUCAAAUCGCAUUUCUGCACAUUUUACGAUUGCUCCCCAUUUCCUCUGCAGGCUAAUCCUCAGUGUGGCUUCCUUCCUUGGAACCUAAAUCUUCUCCAGAACGAGAGGUUGCGUUUUGAAAACAUCAGCAUCUGUGGCCUGCCUUCCUUGAAGGUGUGGGACCUUGGCAGACAGUCAAACAUGUCUCCUUUGAGCGCUGCCUCUGGUCAGAUGUUUACAUUCAGCCUCGUAAUCUGACAUGAUUCAUUGUUUUAAGCGAAUGAAUCAAACUUCACUGAACGACGGGGGUAUUAUUAUUUUUAUUUCUCUAUUUAUUUGGCUUGGACAGCUGAAGAUCCCUGAUGAAAUUCUUCAGAUACUGCACCGCCAGAAUCCUCUGCUCAUUUAUUUGAGGUUUUCCCCCUGAUGACCAUCUCCUGUGGAUCGUGGCCCUGGGGUGCGUGUGUCUAGUCGAUGGAAUUGGAUUCGGCAUCCAGCCCCUCUUGCACAGAAAGUGUCAAACGGAGGAAGAUGAACUAGGCGUUGCGGGAGUAAACGUUGCCAUCUUGUCAAGACUAAAAUAAACUCCCUGUUAAUAAACGAGGUUGGGGAUUGGAAGAGAGCUUUUCGCCAUAAAAGGAGCCGAACGCUAAAAUUAUUGCCCCUGGAACCAUCGUGGGAGUAAAGAAAUUGUUUGUAUUAAAAAAAGGAAUGGUG